AUGCAUGCUUUAUUGAGCGAAGUACUGAUCGGUACAAUUAAUUUAAAAUCAUACGUUACUUUAAUUUCUUUUCUUAUAAUAUCAUAAUUUGAAUUUACUACUUUUCUUACUAUUUUUAUUAGAUUGUAACAUUAUGAACGUUGCCGUAUGAUAUUCUUGGAAGCAAAUGUACCUAUUAAGAUUGUCCUUAGGCGUCACAUACAAAGAUGUUGUCAUGUUUUGUGAAAUUGAUAUUUACUAUAUAGCUGCAGACUUUGGAAAUAUUAAAAGGAAACCUAAAUUGUUUGAAACAGGAUAUGAAGAUGUUUUGACACACUACAAGAUGUUAAUGCCAGGUCACAUCUUUUGGGGCUAGAUUUCGGCAUAGCUACUAAGAAAUGGCCUCCGGAGUAACGUGACAUUCGCAGUGAGGAUAUAAUAAAACAAGCAAGGUAAUGGAAAAGUUCGUACCGGCGGCGACAUGACGUCGCGGUAGUUCAGUUGAGCAGCACGUGGUCGGCUUCACCGAUAUGACUGAUGUCGAAUCGAGAACAAUUAUCAGCAUUUACAGCUUGCUACAUUUCAAAACCAGUAUUUACAGCCUACAUUGUUGGGAGAGAGAAGUAAACGCCGAACAGCACAAACUUUGAGCUCAAUCGCCCGAUCCUAGAUUUGCUUGCAGGUUUGGCGCGAUCCCUGGGACUACUGAACCGUCAUUUUAGGAGAAUCUUUAACAGUGAUUUUAGUGUGUUU